rnacentral:rRNA from 1 species
AACGCGAAGAACCUUACCCAGGCUCGAAAUGUAAUGGACAAUACCAGAGAUGGUAUGUUCCGCAAGGACUGUUAUAUAGGUGCUGCAUGGCUGUCGUCAGCUCGUGCCGUGAGGUGUUGGGUUAAGUCCCGCAACGAGCGCAACCCUUAUCAUUAGUUGCCAACACGCAAGGUGGGGACUCUAAUGAGACUGCCUGGGUUAACCAGGAGGAAGGUGAGGAUGAUGUCAAGUCCGCAUGGCCUUUAUGUCUGGGGCUACACACGUGCUACAAUGGUCGGUACAGAAGGCAGCAAGACCGCAAGGUGGAGCAAAUCCGAAAAGCCGAUCUCAGUUCAGAUUGUAGUCUGCAACUCGACUACAUGAAGUUGGAAUUGCUAGUAAUGACGUGUCAGCAACAACGUCGUGAAUACGUUCCCGGGCCUUGUA